rnacentral:SRP_RNA from 1 species
GCCUGGCAUGAUGGCACAUGCCUGUAAUCCUAGCUACUAGGGAGGCUGAGACAGGAGAAUCGCUUGAGCCCAGGAGGUCAAGGCUGCAGUGAGCUGUGAUAGCACCACUGCACUCCAGCAUGGACAACAGAGCGAGACCCUAUCUCUA